AUGGCGGCCUCCUCGUGGCAAGUGGCCCUUCUCGCCGUCGCGGUCUGCGUGCUCCCGGCCCUGCCGGCGGCGGGCGCGGCCCGGGCCUUCUUCAUCUUCGGCGACUCGCUGGUGGACAACGGCAACAACAACUACCUCAUGACGUCGGCGCGCGCCGACUCGUGGCCCUACGGCAUCGACACCCCGGACCACCGCGCCACGGGGAGGUUCUCCAAUGGCAAGAACGUCGUCGACCUCAUCAGCGAGCAGAUAGGAUCCGUGCCGGUGCUGCCGUAUCUUAGCCCCGAGCUGGACGGCGAGAACCUGCUCGUCGGCGCCAACUUCGCCUCCGCCGGCAUUGGAAUCCUCAACGACACCGGCAUCCAGUUCGUCGAAAAGAGGGAGAAUGCCGGCAGCUGGGAUCCUGAGCUGGAAAAGGAGCAAAUAUUAGAGACCUAUUCUGCACAGAUCCAAAAGUCCUAA
rnacentral:rRNA from 1 species